UGGGGAAUAUUGCACAAUGGGCGCAAGCCUGAUGCAGCCAUGCCGCGUGUAUGAAGAAGGCCUUCGGGUUGNAAAAGUACUUUCAGCGGGGAGGAAGGCGACGGGGGUUAAUAACCCCUGUCGAUUGACGUUACCCGCAGAAGAAGCACCGGCUAACUCCGUGCCAGCAGCCGCGGUAAUACGGAGGGUGCAAGCGUUAAUCGGAAUUACUGGGCGUAAAGCGCACGCAGGCGGUCUGUUAAGUCAGAUGUGAAAUCCCCGGGNUUAACCUGGGAACUGCAUUUGAAACUGGCAGGCUUGAGUCUUGAUAGAGGGGGGCUAGAAUUCCAGGUGUAGCGGUGAAAUGCGUAGAGAUCUGGAGGAAUACCGGUGGCGAAGGCGGCCCCCUGGACAAAGACUGACGCUCAGGUGCGAAAGCGUGGGGCAGCAAACAGGAUUAGAUACCCUGGU
rnacentral:rRNA from 1 species